rnacentral:rRNA from 1 species
UACGUAGGGUGCGAGCGUUAAUCGGAAUUACUGGGCGUAAAGGGUGCGCAGGCGGUUCUGCAAGUCAGGCGUGAAAGCCCCGGGCUUAACCUGGGAAUGGCGCUUGAAACUACAGGACUGGAGUAUGGCAGAGGGAGGUGGAAUUCCACGUGUAGCGGUGAAAUGCGUAGAGAUGUGGAGGAACACCGAUGGCGAAGGCAGCCCCCUGGGCUGAGAUUGACGCUCAGGCACGAAAGCGUGGGGAGCAAACAGG